CACGAAAUCGCUGUAGUUACAGACAAACAGCCUGCUUGCUUGCUUGCUUUCUUGGUUGGUUGGUUGGUUAGACACAGCACCGGUCACCGGAAUCGCCGCGAGACUUUCUCUGUUCCUCUUGCUUGGUUGCUUCGCCAUUGGCGCGGCGACGUCGAGCAGAGUUGCUUUAAUGAAUCCAUAAAUUUGGUUGACGGGUUUAAGAAAAGGCAAUAAAAAAAAAGGAAAAGGAC
rnacentral:lncRNA from 1 species